rnacentral:sRNA from 1 species
GAGCUUACAAGCCUAAGUACUGUUUCCUUGUUAGAAGAUAGAAAACCAAAGACUCAUACAGAGUUUAGCUACACCAUCAAAGCUUUGAGAACCAAGAAGAAGAUUGGUUAGUGUUUUGGAGUGAAAUAUGACUAGAUGUCAUGUGUAUGAUUGAGUAUAAGAACUUAAACCGCAACCGAAUCUUAAACGCCUAAGUAAUGUUUCCUUGUUAGAAGAUACAAAGCCAAAACCUCAUACAGACUUU